GACAGAGGAUGCAAGCGUUGUCCGGAAUUAUUGGGCGUAAAGAGCUCGUAGCGGUUUGUCGCGUCUGCUGUGAAAACCCGAGGCUCAACCUCGGGCCUGCAGUGGGUACGGGCAGACUAGAGUGCGGUAGGGGAGAUUGGAAUUCCUGGUGUAGCGGUGGAAUGCGCAGAUAUCAGGAGGAACACCAAUGGCGAAGGCAGAUCUCUGGGCCGUAACUGACGCUGAGGAGCGAAAGCAUGGGGAGCGAACAG
rnacentral:rRNA from 1 species